CCUGGGUCUGAAAGGGGAAGUCCAGAUGUAGGUGCCUGGCUUUGCAUUGCCCGGGCAAGUCGUGCACCCCUGGGUGGCUCCACCUCUGCCCGCUCCCCAGGGAGAACCUACCCACAGGGAUCUGAGGCGUUGGGAGGUGCCUGGAAGGUUGGAGGAACCGAGGGGGCGCCGCGAGGAAAAAUGUUUCCGCCCACCCCGAGCCUCUCCUCCGACCGGGGACAGGAUUUGGGGGGUCUAUUGUUCCGGUCCUACAGCGCUGAGCCGGGGCUUUCCCACGAAGUGCUGCUACCACCUGCUGGUUCUUUCAAGGAACACAGGCGACUGGUGGAAGUCCCUCUGGCCUUUCCCCCCUCCUCCCCGUAUCACCGGGUGGCAUCUCAGUUCUCCCACUUACUUACUUCGUUUACCCAAGACGAGGGAAAGCGCUAGCUAGCUGCAAACGGGCUGAUCACAAAAGUGGUACUUAAGGAGCAUUCAGAAACCGAGGAAAAUUGUGAAAGAGAUCUGUGAGCCAACAAGCACAAUAAAGGAAACAAUGCAACUCAUUAGAAGGCACCUGGGAGAAACAAACCGGCUUUAAUGAAUUGGCUGAAUGAGUGAUGGAAACUGAAAGGCGACUGAACUAGUCCCCACUUGGCAAGGGGGUUGUUCUCUCUCGAUAUCUGCAGUCAAUUAAUAAGCCUAAUGAUGUUGAAUGAUUCUGCAUUUGGGCAGCUUCGAUAAGUCCGCUUGCACCGGUGAGCCUCACCAGAUCUUGUUUCUUCCCCUUGCUCUGAAAUUCAGUUGGUAGAGAGCUGCUUUCAUUUCCUUUCCAAACCAGGCAUCUCCGAGGCCUGGAAACACUUUUGAGAAGAAACCUGAAUUUACAUUGUAUGUGAUAUUAUAUAACUCAUUAUCCUAGUUACAGUAACAACAUGACUGCCAGAAAGCUCUGGGUGCAGUGGAAACUUUUGUUUUUCUCUUUAAAGCGCACGAUUAAAUUAUGUUAAAAGCAGCAACAAAACAAAAACAGAAGUUACUUUAUAAAACCCAGAAAUUCCAGUAGUGAUUUGCAAUGCAUGGUAUAUGCUGACAGCAUAGUAAAAAUAUCUGUUCUUUUCUAUUGCCUGAUGUAUCCCAUUGUUAACACUGGGUGCCUGUGAUCUGAAAUUAAGUUUUUGUUGUGCGAGGCUUAUGUAAUGAGCAUUUUUUCUCUUGUUGAUAACAUUUGCGAGGGGUCCAGUCUUCAGAGAAAGCACCCUUGUACUCUGCAAGCAAAGAGGUGAUUCCGAUUGGCCCUGUAUCAUCAUCUCCUGUGUGUUAAACCACGUUGUAAAGGGGUGGAUGCCAGGCCUGACUCUGGUUCUUGAGAAGAAAACAGACUUCUGCUGGCAGCACUUGUGAGAACGCUUUUGGCUUUCUAUGAAGAGACACAGAUUUGGCUGAUGUGGCUUUCUCCUUUGUCGCCUCUUGAAAUCUUCUGUUGGACGUUGUAUUGGUCUCCUAUCAAUGCCAUAAAAAAAACUUAGUGGCUGAAAACCACACAAAUGUAUUAUCUUACAGUUCUAAAUUUGGGUCAGAAGUCCAAAAUGGGUCUGAACUGGGUUAAGGAAAACAAACAAACAAACAAAACAAAACAAACCCUCAAAGUAUAGGAGGGCUGUGUUCCUUGUCUAGGCUCUAGGGAGAAUCUUUCCUUGCCUUUUGUAGAGCAACUUCUGGGGCCACUGCAUUCCUUAACUCAUGGUCUUUAUCCUCAAAGCCAGUAAUAUCGGCUGAAUUCUUUUGCUGACUCUCUUCCGUCUCCCUCUUCCACUCAUGAUUAUAGUGGGUCCACCCAGAUAAUCCAGGAUCAUCUCUGUAUCUCAAAGUCAGGCGAUUAGCAACCUUAAUUCUAUCUGCAAACCUAAUUCCCUUUUGCUUUGUAAACUAACAUAACAUCCUAAUUCCAAGGAUUCCGAUGUGGAUUUUUAGGGGACCUCCCAUUAUUCUGCCUACCACAGACAUGAUGGCUGGAGCUUCAGCAUCCCUAUUAGCAACUGGGCCAAAGCCAGAAACUAUGUACUCUUUUUUGUUGUUGUUACAUGAGAAAAAAAAAA